GACGAACGCUGGCGGCGUGCCUAAUACAUGCAAGUCGAACGCAGUGGGGACGGGUGAGUAACACGUGGGUAACCUCCCAUCAGAGGGGAUAACACUUGGAAACAGGUGCUAAACCGAUACUGAUGGAUGGACCCGCGGUGCAUUAGCUAGUUGGUGAGGUAACGGCUCACCAAGGCCACGAUGCAUAGCCGACCGGAGCGGGUGCUCGGCCACACGUGGACUGUGACACGGCCCAGGCUCCUCCGGGGGGCCGCCAUAGGGAAUCUUCGGGAAUUGACGAAAGUCGGACCGAGCAACGCCGCGUGAGUGAAGAAGGUUUUCGGAUCGUAAAACUCUGUUGUUAGAGGAGCGGGAUCUAACCAGAAAGCCACGGCUAACUACGUGCCAGCCGGCGCGGUAAUUC
rnacentral:rRNA from 1 species